GGGCCCGUCGUCUAGCGGAUAGGAUAAGCGGCUUCGAACCGCUUGACCUGGGUUCAAAUCCCGGCGGGCCCA
rnacentral:tRNA from 1 species